GGCCCAAUCUGGCAUCGUCGACCUCUGUUAGUCAGUACUUGAGCGGUGCUCCCGCUAUCUAAAAGCGUGGCAGUGAUGGAGAUCAUCACCUGCAUAUUUAUUGCUCGAGGCCUCGCUCUCGUGGGUCUUCUCCAGGUGGGGGAAAUGGUGCCGGAUGGCGUAGUCGGCCACGAGGCGGACGAUCUCAUGGUGUUCUCCGCCCCUGGACGCGUGGAUCUGGAAGGAACCAAAUCUCAGGAAGGACGGGGAGACCCUGCACACGAUCGCGCCGGGCUCCUGCUUCGGAUUCCCACUGCAGUUCAAGUCGAACGGUGAGCUUCCAUAUUUUCCAUGGAUUCAGAACCAGCAACAACAAGAAGGAUUGCAUUCAUCUGAUGACGGAAAAUGCAUGGAAUUCCCCGCAACGCAACGCAGAGGGAGGGCGUACUCAUAGAACAUGUCCCGGUAGACAAGUUCGCCCGUGGUGACGAGGCAGAGAGCCCGGGUCGUCGGAAUCCCCAGGCCAUGCAUGGCUUCGCUGGCGAGGAACUCACGAACGCUGCUGCGCAGGACGGCGAGGCCGUCGGCGAAUCGGCUGUAGGGGGUCUUCCCGGCGCCCUUGAGCUGCAGUUCCCAUCUCCCGCCGCGAGAAUUCACCAGUUCUCCAAUGGUGAUCGCACGGCCAUCCCCAAGCUGCCCGGCCCACACACCGAACUGAUGCCCUCCAUAGCACUGGGCGUACGGCAACCUGCAAAAGCCGACGCGCGGAGUCGACGAUGAAUUCGAGCAAACGCCUGAACAGAAUACCAAGCGCCGAUCUCUCAAGGAAGAAGAAAGCUCGCUCUUACCCUCCAGCCAGAGGCGAAGCGCCGGAGAAUAUCGCAGGGAAAUCCGCCCUCUGGAAUCUGAAAUAUAUCAGAGGGCUCGAACGUAAGUACAAGGCGGCUGCCAAAGAUGAACACUUGCACAUGCCAUUUUCUUCAUGAGAAAUCCGCAAACCCAUCACGGUGGAAGCAACGAUCGUACACCGAAAAAAUCAAAGCUGCCCAGAAAAGCUUCCGAUUUUAUUUAUAUAGAAUGAAAAAUAAGUAUUAUGCUCGACGAUGGCAGUCGAGCGAGCCCCGAAGAUGUGCAUAAUUAUGUCACUAAUUUCCUAGCCACGACAUGCUCAAUGGAAAGCCGCUGGAUCAGUUGCUCUUGAUAGCCUCGCCAUACAGCGACGGAGACCGGGUGGCUGUCCAACCCAGCUGCGCCCCAUAGGAGCUAUGAAACCGCAGGCAGCAAAAAUCCAGCCGGGAGCCCAUGAACGCCCCUAAAAAUGUGCUCCUCCUUAUUGUCCUUCCCAUGAAGGCCACUGUGGAUAAAGCAGGCCACUUUCUGAACGAGCUCAUGAGAUCCCAGCCACGGAGCAACAUCUCCUUUAACGCUUGAUUUAUCUCCUAAAUGGUCACAGAAUCCUGCAUAAAAUCCUCUGGACACUUGAUAAUUUGCAUGCCAAAGACAGGGCCAACGGGAAAUGUUCUUAGUUUUCUGCCAAAUGAGAGGUGCAUAAGAGAAGCCAUAUCUGGUAAUGGGAGGGGACGUCAGGCAUGCUGAAAACCACAACUGCCAAAUAUAGCAUGAUGACUCACUCUGCAGGAUCCAAAUCCAGCAGUUCAGCAACCGACUCGGACCAAGCAACGAGCUCAGGCUUCCCCACUUUGGCAGAAGGAGAUAUUUUUGAGUAGCAUGCACCUACAACCUGCAACCCAAAUUCGAGGAGAGGAUUCUCCAUGUAAUUUCUGAAUUGAUUGAGAAUAUUAUAUACAACCCUGAACAAAAAAAAACUGUAUUUGGUUUUGAAAAAUAAAAUGCCAAAUGUGGUAUCCAAUUAGAUCAGGGAGUAGUAGAUGUCAUUUGGCUUUUUUUUCCGUAAAUGGAGCUCCAUUCUGACUCUAAACAUGAUCUACAGUGUUUCAAACAUCAGAACAAUUUUUAUGCAUCCAAAAAUGUAGCAUGGAAAUCAUUUUAAGAAGUCUUUUUUUUUCCACAGAUUAAACAUUAAAGGAGGGUUAUUUUUCAAGAAGGCGCCUUCUUAGUCAGAGUUUUUCGUCUCCAAACCUCUCCAGGACUGCAACUCUGGGCGUGCCAAUGUGCACAAUCUUCCUGUUAAUUCCAUGGUUUUGCUGAAUAACCAAUAGUCCGUCAAUUCAAUAAAAACAAAUAUCGAUUUCCGCCCACUGACGACAAGCUAAUUGAUCCAAAACUAAGAUUGGAAGGCAUAAGCGAUUUCUUUUUUCACAGAUGGAGAUUCUUCACUGCCACCAGGAUCGUGUCAACACGUCAUAUGAACUCCUCUAGAUACCAUUACAGACAGGACGGAAAAUCAAAGCAGCUCAAGGAAUUUCCGCUUCUGUGAGAUUAAUUUUUUAAAAAAUGUUUCAUGACAGGGAGACCGGAGAUUUUAGAAACGGGCGCCGAGAGCUCCCCGGUAUCAGCGAUCGAGAUUCAGAGCCAAUCUUACUGUCCUAUAAAGACUGCGUAAAGGAAAGGUACCAGGCAAUCAAACCAAGAUCAUAAUUUCGGUGGUUUUUUUUUCCGCUGAACAGGUAAUCGGGGUGCUCGUCAACGCUGAUGGCAGAAGAAGUUUACCUCUCGGGGGGUGACAUCCGUCCUGGGAUCUCCCGGUAGCUCCCUCACGAAAGAGUGGUCCCAGUUAAGUUCCUCCAGGCGCAGCAGCCUUCCCCUCUCUUUGCUGUUCUUCGCCGACUCUCCGACGCACUCCGCAGACACCGCGGGUGACUCCGCCGCCUGAUUCCGCUCCAUGGAUGGCGACUCAGCGAAGCCCACGAAUCUCCGCACCAGCUUGUGCACGGGUUCGCCCCCCCGCAGAAGAGAGAGGCCCCGAUGUCCAAGGAGACCCCGCGAGCCGCCCCAACCCGCCGCCGCCGGAACCCUCCCGGAGGCGAGACGGUAAGCGAACCACCGACCCGGCGCCGAGGGAGACGCAGAGGUGGGCAACCCAGAGAGAGCGGCGCGGCAGGCGCGAGGGGACGACGAGAGGGACGCGAGGUGGAAAUGGCCAACCAUCGCGACCCGCAGAUCCCUUUUCUAUCACGCCCUCCUCCCUCCCCUCUCUGGCUCCACGCAGCCGGGAAAUUAGCCCUCUGGAGCCCCCGGUCAGAGAGGCGACGCAGCACGCCGACAGUCCGCCUCAUCGGAUGGAUUGGCCACGGGCCUUGCGGCAGGCCGCCUUCGGACCGCAAGACUCCUGACCCUCCAACAUGGAACCAGACCCCCUCGCCACCACCGACGAGUCUGAUCCAGAAUUUACUCCACCCCACGUCCGAUAAAGAAAUCUGCUCUCGGGAAAAAUCUGAUCUUUAAUCGAGACUUAGAUCUCGUAGAUCUACAUUGGGCACGAAAGUUGGGGGCCAAAAACACGGCAAAAAUGAACAUCAUCUUGGCCCACGGUUCCACCUAUGGAGAGCGUCGUAGGCAGGGCCCUCCAUCUUGAAGUGGCCGACUUCAAGUGGGUCUUAGAGGUACGUCAGAGAGUUCUAGUUCAUGUGUUCUGCGUUGCGGAGGUAAUCGCAGCGUGUACUGUGAUGUAGCUAGUGAAGGGGAUUGAAGCAUCAUCUUGUAGAUCUGAUGCAAAAGAACUAGAGAGAGAGAGAGAGAGAGAGAGAAUAAUUUGAACACAUACGUUUAUAGUCGCACACAGAUCGAGUUUACUUUCAAAUAUCAUUUCUUGCAGCUCCCUAGCGGCAAAAACAUAUUUGCGUGUCCUAGUUACAUGAGAUGGUUGCGCCCCUCUUGUGUUACGCACCAAGAUCAAGGUAAAACUCUGGAGAAAAUGACAUAAAUGCCCUUAGAGUUAAAAUUUUUCUCCUAGGGCACUGUACCACUUGAGACUCACUAUCAAGGGACAAUGUCCAUUUGAUUCCCCUCUUGGAGCCCCCCACUAGGUCAUUGUCAAGUUAUAUCCAAGUACUCAUCAAAGAGUUUAUUGUAACCCAACAUGAGCUACUACUAGGAAAUCAAUCCCCACAGCUUCAACAAGAUUCUACUUAGCUAUUGAUUGAUCUUUGAGCAAAGGCAGGUUGUUCUUGAUUAAUUUUCUAUGGCAACCAUUUUCAUCAACAUUUCAUUGAAUUAUUGAUUUGUUAAUCAUUUCAAGUACCAAAGUUCCAUCUUAUAAUAAGUCACGAGUGAAGUGAUACUUCAAUUAUUAGUUAAGUGCAUGGCACUCCAAUUAUCAAAAAGCAGCAUGACAUUUUCGUACUUCCUACCAAAUUCAGUAAGAAAUUAUUAAGCCAAAUCAUUUGUCCAUUUACUUUUGUAAUUGCAGCAUACUUAACUUUUUGCUGAGAGAUGAAGAUAAUAUUAUGCAAUUGAGAAACUCAACUUAUGAUAGUACCACCUAGAGUUUAGAUGCAAUAGAUAGUGCUCUCUUUGUGUUGACAAUUUAUGUUAUGUAUCUCUUGUUUAAUAGAAAAUCUAUGAGACAACCAUAUAUUGUUCUCUACUUGAAUCAACCAUGAAAUUAAUAAUUCUACUACAUAUGCAAUGUGGUUUGGUGCAGACCACAUCUUGUUGCUUCUUUACUAUCUCAAGCAGUUGAUCCUUUUAAAGCUGAAAAUGAUUCAUUAAAGGAGUACUCACAAGAAUUAUUACUUCUCUAGUGAAUAUGCAAAGCAUUUUUAAAAAUUUUUUCAAAUUAUCUUUUGAGAUAAUAUCAAGUGAUCAUCACUUUCUCACAAGUACAAGUGAUUAUCACCCCAAAAUUAUUUUAUUGCAUUCAUAUCUUUCAUACUAAAUGUAUUUAUUAAUUCCUUGUUAACUUCAUGAUUUCUUAUUUAUUUAUCCUUUUAAUCAAUAUAUUAUCAACACAAGGUAAUAAGUUGAUAUAAGACUUAUCAAUUUUCUUCAAAUAACAACAACAAACUAUUGGCAUUUUCAUUAAGUCAUUCUUAUUCGUAAAGUUAUCAAAUUUCUUAUACUAUUUUUGUAUGUACUUGUUUAAGCCCAUAGAUACUAUUCUUCAAAUUACAUAUUUAAUUUUUUUUAUCAAAAAUACUAUUUUUUAUCAUAAAAAUAUCUUCUUCUAAGUCACCGUGAAUAAAGAUUAUUUAUAUCAAAUUAAUUCACAUAAAGUUUUUUUACAAUCAUAAUACACAAAACCAAUCUCAUUGCAAUCAAAUUCACAACAUGAGUGAAAAAAAUUAUAUAAUUUAUCUCUUAUUUUUGUUCAAAAGCCCUUGUCCAUCUAUGUGUCACCAUGUUUUUCUUCGACUUGAUACAUUCACUUAUAAUGGAGCACUUUCUUUUUAGUUGGUAAUAGAGUUAACACUCACAUCAAUUUUUCUACAUGAAAUCCAAUUUAUCUUGCAUUGCCAACUCUCACUUCAAUGAUUUCCACAUCCUUAACUUUUGUAUAAGGUUCAAGUUCCUUGUAUCAAUUAAUAGAAAAUUUAGUGUAUAAUUAAAUAAUACAUUUUAGGUGGCCUUCAUAAUAUGUUAGACCUUGUUAAAAUACAUGAGUUGAAUUGACAUAUUUGUCAAAGAGUCUAUUAGAUCCCAUUAUGACUCAAUAUAAAAUCAUCUCCAAAACUCUAAUAAUCAAAGUUAAAUAGAGAUUAAGUUUGGUCUUUCAAUCCAUAAUAAUGUAAAUUUAUGUAAAGUUAUCUCAUUUCAAAUUGAUAUAAUUGAAAACUUCAACCUUUGAAUUCACAAGAGAGUGAUUUGUAUUCACAAUAUCAAAAUGUUGCCUUAAAUCUACAAGAGAGACAUAUAAAUCUAUAAGUAAAGAUAUGAGAUCUCAAAUGAGUAAAACAUUUCAAAAUUCUAAAUAAUAUCUUUAGGGUUGUUAUGUGAGACUUUUAAACAUGUGAAAUUUCUAUUAAAGUGUCUCAUAAAGGUGGUUCAGUUAUGAUGGCACCUUAAAAUAAAUUUAAGAAGUAUUUGAAUAAAUUUAAUAUUACUAAAAGAGAAAAUAAAUUAUAAAUAAAAAUUAGUCUUAAACUUUUAUGAUGAGUUUUUCUAUGAGCUAUUUCAUGUAUUGCACCAAUUCACAUCCAAAGUUUGUUCUUCAUAACUCCUAGACUUCUAGUCCAUUAGCAUAUGCAUUUUUUGAGAAUACGUAAGCCUAAAAGAGUUGAAUACAACAAGAUUGAGAAGAGGCUCAUGAGCACCACUUACUACUAAGAGAUGAAAGUUGACAAAAUUGUAGAAAGAUGAACCAUUGGAGACUUGAAGUACUCUUUAGUAAUAGAGUGACAAUGAAAACUUAUCUAUUACAUAAUGGAGUAGUGUUUAACACAUCAACUACGUAGUGGCUUCAAUACUAGAAAAACUUGAGUCAUAAUAAUUGGCUAAAUGGCUUAAAUAAUGUUUACCCUUUCAAGACCUCAAUAAAGUUCCAAACUAAGACAUCCAUAGAAUGUUGGAAGGCUACUAAAAAUAAAGUAUAAUUAUCUUUCAAGGAUUCAUAAUUUGGGACAUCAUGUAGAAUAAGGGAGUUCUCCUUGAAGGGCCCACAAUGUUUGAUCUUCCACUAACCCCUCAAGCAACUACGUAGAGAGACCUUCCUCAUGGACACAUAUUUGUCACUUAACCUAUUUAGCCCAACUGCUGAAGAUCUCCCUCCCCAUCGCAAUGAAUCUGGAAGAUAGUAUCACAAUCCCUGAGAGUUCGCGCGUAUUUUUAAACACUUCGGCAGUUCCGGUGGCUGCCGAGGGAGAAUAAGAGAGGUCAAGAGGAGGAGAGCAUAGAGACGCCAAGCCGGUGGGCCCAAGCGGGCGGCAGCAGCGCGUACUUCUCCAUCCCCGGCUGCUCGUCGAAGGGCCGCUGCAUGACCUUCAGCAGCCUCCGCACCUCGUCGUAGUCACCCUGCUCGGCAGCGUCGAUGGCGAUCUGGCAUAGGUAGUUCCUGAGCACGUACUUGGGGUUCACCGCGUCCAUGGCGGCCUUCCUCUGCUCGUCCGGGACCCCGCCGGCGACCAGCUGCGCAUCCAGGAGACAGAACCCGAGAAGAUCAGUCACUCCCCCACCCACCCUACCAUAGGAACGAACGUAUCGAGCUACGAAAAUCUACACAAACGGAGAUUCAGGAGCAGAAAUUCGAGCACACUCACCUCCUGGACGUAAGACUUCACCCAGCUGAUCCACGCCUCCUUCCGCUCCGGGCCGAUGUCCAGCAGAACAGCCCUGAGCGGAGCCAGUAGGUCCUUCUCAUCCAUGUCCGCUGCCGCCGCCGCCGCCUUCACGUUGGACAGGAGCCGGAAGAAAUUCGUGUAGUCGACCUUAUCCACGGACAAGUUGCUGAGGAGCUUACUGACGAGCUCCUCGUUAUACCCGGGCAAGCCCAGCUUCCUGGUCAUUAUGGACCUAUACUCCUCAAUGAACUUUUCCCUGUACCUGUCCAGCACACGAAGAAGCUGAUUCAGAGGGGCGGGGCAGUCCUAAAACCCUGCAGGAGGAGUCAGACCGGCUCACCUCUCCCUGGCCCGGUUGGCUUCUUCCUCUGAAAUCAGCUUGGCCGUUGACAGGGUACUGGCGAACUGGGCCACGUUCCACAAACAGACGUCCGGCUGAUUGGCGAAGCGAUACCUUCUUUCCGGCAGGUCCGCCGUGUUCGGAGUGUAGUUCGGAUCGAAGGCAUCGAGGAAGCCGAAGGGCCCGUAGUCCAUGGUGAGCCCCAGCAAGCUCAUGUUGUCGGUGUUCAGCACCCCAUGGGUGAAGCCCACGCCCUGCCAGCUAGCGACCAAGGAGGCCGUCCUCUCCGCCACCUCCACGGCCAAAUCUGGCAUCGUCAACCUCUGUUAGUAGGCAAUUGGGCGAUGCUCCCGCUAUCUAAAAGCGUGGGAGUGAUGGAGAUCAUCACCUGCAUAUUUAUUGCGCGAGGCCUCGCUCUCGUGGGUCUUCUCCAGGUGGGGGAAAUGGUGCCGGAUGGCGUAGUCGGACAGGAGGCGGACGAUCUCAAGGCUUUCUCCGCCCCUGAACGCGUGAAUCUGGAAGGAACCAAGUCUCAGCAAGGAUUGGGCGACCCUGCACACGAUCGCGCCGGGCUCCUGCU
rnacentral:lncRNA from 1 species